UAAUACAACUCUCUAUUCAUACUGUUUGUCCAUCUGUCUGCAAAGACUGAAAUAACUUUAAAGUACCUAAGGUGUCCCCAAUAGCACUUGGUAAGCAUACAUCCGUAGAUGACUCAAUCAGUGAUCCAUGGUACUCAAUAGUAGCCCAUAGAUAAUGAUAAUACUUAAUGUUUGUUAAAGAGUUUUCUGGAUGAGUUUCACAUUCACAAAUAAACAGAAUAUCAGGACAUAACAAUUUAUGAAUGAAUCCAAAAACUGAAUUUACUCAUAAGAUUAUGAUGAGUUCCAUCAUAGUAGUAAAGUAUUGAUGUCGCUAAUGUGAAACAAGGUAGUAAAGUAUUGAUGUCGCUAAUGUGAAACAAGGUAGUAAAGUAUUGAUGUCGCUAAUGUGAAACAAGGUAGUAAAGUAUUGAUGUCGCUAAUGUGAAACAAGGUAGUAAAGUAUUGAUGUCGCUAAUGUGAAACAAGGUAGUAAAGUAUUGAUGUCGCUAAUGUGAAACAAGGUAGUAAAGUAUUGAUGUCGCUAAUGUGAAACAAGGUAGUAAAGUAUUGAUGUCGCUAAUGUGAAACAAGGUAGUAAAGUAUUGAUGUCGCUAAUGUGAAACAAGGUAGUAAAGUAUUGAUGUCGCUAAUGUGAAACAAGGUAGUAAAGUAUUGAUGUCGCUAAUGUGAAACAAGGUAGUAAAGUAUUGAUGUCGCUAAUGUGAAACAAGGUAGUAAAGUAUUGAUGUCGCUAAUGUGAAACAAGGUAGUAAAGUAUUGAUGUCGCUAAUGUGAAACAAGGUAGUAAAGUAUUGAUGUCGCUAAUGUGAAACAAGGUAGUAAAGUAUUGAUGUCGCUAAUGUGAAACAAGGUAGUAAAGUAUUGAUGUCGCUAAUGUGAAACAAGGUAGUAAAGUAUUGAUGUCGCUAAUGUGAAACAAGGUAGUAAAGUAUUGAUGUCGCUAAUGUGAAACAAGGUAGUAAAGUAUUGAUGUCGCUAAUGUGAAACAAGGUAGUAAAGUAUUGAUGUCGCUAAUGUGAAACAAGGUAGUAAAGUAUUGAUGUCGCUAAUGUGAAACAAGGUAGUAAAGUAUUGAUGUCGCUAAUGUGAAACAAGGUAGUAAAGUAUUGAUGUCGCUAAUGUGAAACAAGGUAGUAAAGUAUUGAUGUCGCUAAUGUGAAACAAGG